AGAUUCCCCCAGUAGCGGCGAGCGAACGGGGAGCAGCCCAGAGCCUGAAUCAGUGUGUGUGUUAGUGGAAGCGUCUGGAAAGGCGUGCGAUACAGGGUGACAGCCCCGUACACAAAAAUGCACAUAUUGUGAGCUCGAUGAGUAGGGCGGGACACGUGGUAUCCUGUCUGAAUAUGGGGGGACCAUCCUCCAAGGCUAAAUACUCCUGACUGACCGAUAGUGAACCAGUACCGUGAGGGAAAGGCGAAAAGAACCCCGGCGAGGGGAGUGAAAAAGAACCUGAAACCGUGUACGUACAAGCAGUGGGAGCACGCUUAGGCGUGUGACUGCGUACCUUUUGUAUAAUGGGUCAGCGACUUAUAUUCUGUAGCAAGGUUAACCGAAUAGGGGAGCCGAAGGGAAACCGAGUCUUAACUGGGCGUUAAGUUGCAGGGUAUAGACCCGAAACCCGGUGAUCUAGCCAUGGGCAGGUUGAAGGUUGGGUAACACUAACUGGAGGACCGAACCGACUAAUGUUGAAAAAUUAGCGGAUGACUUGUGGCUGGGGGUGAAAGGCCAAUCAAACCGGGAGAUAGCUGGUUCUCCCCGAAAGCUAUUUAGGUAGCGCCUCGUGAAUUCAUCUCCGGGGGUAGAGCACUGUUUCGGCAAGGGGGUCAUCCCGACUUACCAACCCGAUGCAAACUGCGAAUACCGGAGAAUGUUAUCACGGGAGACACACGGCGGGUGCUAACGUCCGUCGUGAAGAGGGAAACAACCCAGACCGCCAGCUAAGGUCCCAAAGUCAUGGUUAAGUGGGAAACGAUGUGGGAAGGCCCAGACAGCCAGGAUGUUGGCUUAGAAGCAGCCAUCAUUUAAAGAAAGCGUAAUAGCUCACUGGUCGAGUCGGCCUGCGCGGAAGAUGUAACGGGGCUAAACCAUGCACCGAAGCUGCGGCAGCGACGCUGAUGCGUUGUUGGGUAGGGGAGCGUUCUGUAAGCCUGUGAAGGUGUGCUGUGAGGUAUGCUGGAGGUAUCAGAAGUGCGAAUGCUGACAUAAGUAACGAUAAAGCGGGUGAAAAGCCCGCUCGCCGGAAGACCAAGGGUUCCUGUCCAACGUUAAUCGGGGCAGGGUGAGUCGACCCCUAAGGCGAGGCCGAAAGGCGUAGUCGAUGGGAAACAGGUUAAUAUUCCUGUACUUGGUGUUACUGCGAAGGGGGGACGGAGAAGGCUAUGUUGGCCGGGCGACGGUUGUCCCGGUUUAAGCGUGUAGGCUGGUUUUCCAGGCAAAUCCGGAAAACUAAGGCUGAGGCGUGAUGACGAGGCACUACGGUGCUGAAGCAACAAAUGCCCUGCUUCCAGGAAAAGCCUCUAAGCAUCAGGUAACAUCAAAUCGUACCCCAAACCGACACAGGUGGUCAGGUAGAGAAUACCAAGGCGCUUGAGAGAACUCGGGUGAAGGAACUAGGCAAAAUGGUGCCGUAACUUCGGGAGAAGGCACGCUGAUAUGUAGGUGAAGUCCCUCGCGGAUGGAGCUGAAAUCAGUCGAAGAUACCAGCUGGCUGCAACUGUUUAUUAAAAACACAGCACUGUGCAAACACGAAAGUGGACGUAUACGGUGUGACGCCUGCCCGGUGCCGGAAGGUUAAUUGAUGGGGUCAGCGCAAGCGAAGCUCUUGAUCGAAGCCCCGGUAAACGGCGGCCGUAACUAUAACGGUCCUAAGGUAGCGAAAUUCCUUGUCGGGUAAGUUCCGACCUGCACGAAUGGCGUAAUGAUGGCCAGGCUGUCUCCACCCGAGACUCAGUGAAAUUGAACUCGCUGUGAAGAUGCAGUGUACCCGCGGCAAGACGGAAAGACCCCGUGAACCUUUACUAUAGCUUGACACUGAACAUUGAGCCUUGAUGUGUAGGAUAGGUGGGAGGCUUUGAAGUGUGGACGCCAGUCUGCAUGGAGCCGACCUUGAAAUACCACCCUUUAAUGUUUGAUGUUCUAACGUUGACCCGUAAUCCGGGUUGCGGACAGUGUCUGGUGGGUAGUUUGACUGGGGCGGUCUCCUCCUAAAGAGUAACGGAGGAGCACGAAGGUUGGCUAAUCCUGGUCGGACAUCAGGAGGUUAGUGCAAUGGCAUAAGCCAGCUUGACUGCGAGCGUGACGGCGCGAGCAGGUGCGAAAGCAGGUCAUAGUGAUCCGGUGGUUCUGAAUGGAAGGGCCAUCGCUCAACGGAUAAAAGGUACUCCGGGGAUAACAGGCUGAUACCGCCCAAGAGUUCAUAUCGACGGCGGUGUUUGGCACCUCGAUGUCGGCUCAUCACAUCCUGGGGCUGAAGUAGGUCCCAAGGGUAUGGCUGUUCGCCAUUUAAAGUGGUACGCGAGCUGGGUUUAGAACGUCGUGAGACAGUUCGGUCCCUAUCUGCCGUGGGCGCUGGAGAACUGAGGGGGGCUGCUCCUAGUACGAGAGGACCGGAGUGGACGCAUCACUGGUGUUCGGGUUGUCAUGCCAAUGGCACUGCCCGGUAGCUAAAUGCGGAAGAGAUAAGUGCUGAAAGCAUCUAAGCACGAAACUUGCCCCGAGAUGAGUUCUCCCUGACUCCUUGAGAGUCCUGAAGGAACGUUGAAGACGACGACGUUGAUAGGCCGGGUGUGUAAGCGCAGCGAUGCGUUGAGCUAACCGGUACUAAUGAACCGUGAGGCUUAACCUUACAACGCCGAAGGUGUUU
rnacentral:rRNA from 1 species